rnacentral:rRNA from 1 species
UACGGAGGGGGCUAGCGUUGUUCGGAAUUACUGGGCGUAAAGCGCACGUAGGCGGAUGUGUCAGUCAGGGGUGAAAUCCCGGGGCUCAACCUCGGAACUGCCUUUGAUACAGCACGUCUCGAGUCCGGAAGAGGGUCGCGGAAUUCCCGGUUGUAGAGGUGAAAUUCGAUAGAUAUCGGGAGGAACACCAGUGGCGAAGGCGGCGACCUGGGCCGAUACUGACGCUGAAGGAGCGAAAGC